GGUAGGAUGGCCGAGUUGGUUAUGGCGCCAGGUUAAGGCUUCAGCUUUAGCAUAAUCUCCUGGUUCGGGAAACUGAGCGUGGGUUCAAAUCCCACUUCUAUCA